rnacentral:rRNA from 1 species
AUUGAACGCUGGCGGCAUGCUUUACACAUGCAAGUCGAACGGUAACAGGGUGCUUGCACCGCUGACGAGUGGCGAACGGGUGAGUAAUGCGUCGGAACGUGCCGAGUAGUGGGGGAUAACGCAGCGAAAGUUGUGCUAAUACCGCAUACGUACUGAGGUAGAAAGUGGGGGACCUUCGGGCCUCACGCUAUUCGAGCGGCCGACGUCUGAUUAGCUAGUAGGGGAGGUAAAGGCUCACCUAGGCGACGAUCAGUAGCGGGUCUGAGAGGAUGAUCCGCCACACUGGGACUGAGACACGGCCCAGACUCCUACGGGAGGCAGCAGUGGGGAAUUUUGGACAAUGGGCGAAAGCCUGAUCCAGCCAUGCCGCGUGUCUGAAGAAGGCCUUCGGGUUGUAAAGGACUUUUGUCGGGGAGGAAAUCCCCAGCGUUAAUACCGCUGGGGGAUGACAGUACCUGAAGAAUAAGCACCGGCUAACUACGUGCCAGCCGCCGCAGUAACAC